ensembl:misc_RNA 7SK 7SK RNA
GGAUGUGAGGGCGAUCUGGCUGCGACAUCUGUCACCCCAUUGAUCGCCAGGGUUGAUUCGGCUGAUCUGGCUGGCUAGGCAGGUGUCCCUUUCCUCCCUCACUGCUCCAUGUGUGUCCCUCCCGAAGCUGCGCGCUAGGUCCAAGAGGACGACCAUCCCCGAUAGAGGAGGACCGGUCUUCGGUCAAGGGUAUACGAGUAGCUGCGCUUCCCUGCUAGAACCUCCAAACAAGCUUCCAUGAGGCUACAGUUGAAAUAUCAUCUGGGACUGGCUAGACCUAACAAUUUUAGCUUUAGAUUUGCUCUUAGAUAUAAUUUCU